UACGUAGGGUGCGAGCGUUAAUCGGAAUACUGGGCGUAAAGCGUGCGCAGGCGGUGAUGUAAGACAGGUGUGAAAUCCCCGGGCUUAACCUGGGAACUGCAUUUGUGACUGCAUCGCUGGAGUGCGGCAGAGGGGGAUGGAAUUCCGCGUGUAGCAGUGAAAUGCGUAGAUAUGCGGAGGAACACCGAUGGCGAAGGCAAUCCCCUGGGCCUGCACUGACGCUCAUGCACGAAAGCGUGGGAGCA
rnacentral:rRNA from 1 species